AUGAGACGACAUCCACUUGAGCAAGUAAACCAGGUGCGGCGCAGACGCAGAGAGAAAGAAAGGAAGCAAGGGGAGGAACAGGAUCUAGGGGCUGCUAUGGCGUCGGCGGCGAGCAGGAAGGCGCCGUCGCUGGUGGUGGCGGCAAGCGUGGGCGCCGUGGAGGCGCUCAAGGACCAGGCGGGCCUGUGCCGCUGGGGCUACCCGCUCCGCUCGCUCUACCGCCACGCCGCCGCCGCGCCCAGGGUCCGCGCCCUGUCCGCCUCGCUCUCCGAGGCAGCGGCCGCCGCGGCUCCCCGACCGGCGCCUUUGUCCGCGGAGGACGCGAAGCUGCGCAAGGCGCACCACCUCGUCUGCUGGGGCCCCAACUGA
rnacentral:rRNA from 1 species